UGGGGAAUAUUGCGCAAUGGGCGAAAGCCUGACGCAGCAACACCGCGUGAGGGAUGACGGCCUUCGGGUUGUAAACCUCUUUCAGCUCCGACGAAGCGAAAGUGACGGUAGGAGCAGAAGAAGCACCGGCUAACUACGUGCCAGCAGCCGCGGUAAUACGUAGGGUGCAAGCGUUGUCCGGAAUUAUUGGGCGUAAAGAGCUCGUAGGCGGUCCGUUGCGUCUGCCGUGAAAACCCGGAGCUCAACUCCGGGCCUGCGGUGGAUACGGGCGGACUAGAGUCCGGUAGGGGAGACUGGAAUUCCUGGUGUAGCGGUGGAAUGCGCAGAUAUCAGGAGGAACACCGGUGGCGAAGGCGGGUCUCUGGGCCGGAACUGACGCUGAGGAGCGAAAGCGU
rnacentral:rRNA from 1 species